UUUUCCUAAACAAACAAUACUAAUAUUUUGAACAAACAGUUGCAAAGCUAAACACAACUCAAGAAAUUAUUUCCCCAGGCAGAUGUCACACCCCAUAUUAAACAGAGCAGCACAUGCCUCAACCAUGUAUGAAAACAUUUAUGUGUGUUUUCCAAGGACCACAGUUUUAUGCCUUUGACACUAUCAUGGGGAGAAGAACAGAGUAGAAUCCUUCUCUAGGCUUCUGAGGAGAGUGAUCAACAUUCCCCUCCCAAUGAGCAAAGCAAGGGCCUGCUCAUCACCUUUGGAACACACUGCCUUUGUUUGAUCAUGGCUGUGACUGAGUUCCUGAGAACUUACAUCUCAUAUGAAACAAUGAAGAUAACUCAGAAGACCCCAUUCUGGAAGAAUGUGAUUCCAUGCUCUUGUCCUCUGCCUAGAGCUGGUGUAGAAGGGACAUUGACUUUCAGAGAUUUGGGUUUGAAUUCUACCCUUGCCACUUCCUAGCCUUAGUUUCCUCACCUGUAAAAUGGAACUAAUAACCUACCUCAAUGGACUUUUUAUAAGGAUAUAAUUAGUUACCACAUGCAAAGUGCCUGGUGUGCAAUAAACACUCAUAAGUAAUGUCAUCAUGAUUUAUACAAAUCACCAGGCUAGGAAAAUCUGUUCUGGUUCUCUUGCUGUCACUUUCUCCCAGAUGUCUGCCAUUUUGAAAUUUGCCCUGUAAUUAAAUAUUUUCAGUCAAAUCACUUCCUUGAGGUUUAUGGUAACAUGCAUUCUAAUUCAUUGUUGGGAUAGUUAAUUUUCUAGGUAUUUCUGAACUUAAAAAAAAAUAGAAAUGCUCUAUUUAUUCACAUUUAUUUCUUCCUUAAAAGCACUGGUUGAGAUCAUGAGACCAUUACCUCAGAGAGCUCAGACAUUAUUAAAACAAAUUACUCUAGGCCAGUGUAAGGAGAGCCCUAACACUCACUCUCACAGAGGAGGCUGGGAGGCCCCUUGAGAAGGAGUGAAAGAAUGGAUCUCUUGUUGGCUCACACACAUUAUUUAGAAAUAGCUUAUUUUGUUAAUAUCACCAGAUGGUUCCAAGCCAUACAUAAAAACAUUCUACCCCACACUGAUUUGCUUGACAAGUGUCCCACAACAAAGGGAGUUAACUAGACUGAAAGGCAUGUGUCUAUUUAGGGGCAAGCCUGGUUCAAGGUUCAUGUGGUCUGUUGAUGAGAGCUCUUUCUUGGGAAUACUAAAAUCCUAAUGUUGAUGAGAAAAGUACUUUCUUGAGCCAGAAAUUAUGCACUGCAAAUUUUAUUCUACCACUUCCUGGUGAUGUGGCAAGAGUCAAAUGUUUCAUCUCUAGGCCACCAUUUCUUCGUUUGUAAAGCAGAGAUAGUAAUAGGUGUCUCACAGAGUCCUAGUAAGAUUUAAGUGAUUAUUACGGAAGAAUCUGGAACAGAAACAGAUCUACAGCAAGCACCCAACAAAUGUUGGGUGAAAUAUUAGUUGACCCAGUAGAUCAAUCUGAAUACAUGUCUUCAUAUUUCAGAAUCUAAUUUCAAGAAGGCAGGGAUGAUAAUGGCGUGGAAAGUUUUCAACUUUGAGUCAAGAAAAAAAAGCUAAACUGUUCUUACUACUUGCUGUGUUGCUUUGGGCAAAUUGCUCAACUUUUCUGAGUCUUAUUUUUUUAAUGUGCAGAAUGGGGCAUAAUAAUAGUAUCUCUUCUCUGUAGUUUCUAGGAUUACUGAGGGAGCAAAAUUUGUCUCUGUGUAUCCCCAGCCUUCAGAUUCUUCAUUCAUUCUCUUCCUAAAAGUAACAACAUUGUUGAAUGUGUAUUUGAGUUUUCUCAAAUUACUAACUUUUAAUGGAACAGAUAGCCUUAAAAACAUCCAGUGGCAGAAUCAGUUAACUUCUGGAAUUUUCUGAGGGAGUAUUUCAUAUGCAAAGGCAAAUUAGCAAUACUAAUAGAACAUUAGUAAGAGCAGUGGUUAAGAUAAUUAUCCAUCUCUGGGGAAAUGCCACCACCUUCUGUGAUCUUAUGCUUUCAAAUGCAGUAAGAUGCAAUAAUUUCAUGAUAAUUUCAGUUUCAGAACUACCUUAACUAAGUGUCUGAAUAUUCAUUUCUGAAUACUCUACAAGCCGAAUAUUACAGCCAGUUGGCUGCAGUGUUGGAUAAAUCAAAGGAUAAGGCUAAUGAAAUCCUGAGCUUGUCAAGGAUUCAGACCCAGUGAAUUGGUUGGUAUUCUAGAAAAUGGGGUAUGCAUGGAAGUAAAACAUUGCCAAGAGGAUAAUAACUUGGGUUUGAUUUAGUUGAACAGAAAAUGCUUAAGUUAAUUUAUCCUCUUUCAUUGUCGGAGGG